CCAAUAGCGUAUAUUAAAGUUGUUGCAGUUAAAAAGCUCGUAGUUGAAUUUCGGGGUUAGUACGCUGGUCGUGCCUUCGGUAUGUACUGGUGUUUCUGAUUCCUACCUUCUGAAGAACCGUUAUGUCAUUCAUUUGGUGUGGCGGGGAAUCAGGACUGUUACUUUGAAAAAAUUAGAGUGUUUAAAGCAGGCUCGCGCUUGAAUACAUUAGCAUGGAAUAAUGAAAUAGGACGUUCGAUCCUAUUUUGUUGGUUUCUAGGAUUGACGUAAUGAUUAAUAGGGAUAGUUGGGGGCAUUAGUAUUCAAUUGUCAGAGGUGAAAUUCUUGGAUUUAUUGAAGACUAGCUACUGCGAAAGCAUUUUCCAAGGAUGUUUUCAUUAAUCAAGAACGAAAGUUAGGGGAUCGAAGACGAUCAGAUACCGUCGUAGUCUUAACCAUAAACUAUGCCGACUAGGGAUCGGAUGAUGUUAAUUUUUUAAUGACUCAUUCGGCGCCUUACG
rnacentral:rRNA from 1 species